AUUGAACGCUGGCGGCAGGCCUAACACAUGCAAGUCGAACGAGUGGCGGACGGGUGAGUAAUGUCUGGGAAACUGCCUGAUGGAGGGGGCUAACUACUGGAAACGGUAGCUAAUACCGCAUACCAUCGGAUGUGCCCAGAUGGGAUUAGCUAGUAGGUGGGGUAACGGCUCACCUAGGCGACGAUCCCUAGCUGGUCUGAGAGGAUGACCGGCAACACUGGAACUGAGACACGGUCCAGACGCCUACGGGAGGCAGCAGUGGGGAAUAUUGGACAAUGGGCGCAAGCCUGAUGCAGCCAUGCCGCGUGAAUGAAGAAGGCGUUCGGGUUGUAAAGUACUUUCAGCGAGGAAGCGUUACUCGAAGAAGAAGCACCGGCUAACUCCGUGCCAGCAGCCGCGGUAAUAC
rnacentral:rRNA from 1 species